ACAUGCUCACAAUGUAUAGUCAAUGCACCAGAUCCCAUUAGAAAUUCAUAGUUAAGCGCUCUCGGGCUAGAGUAGUACUAGGAUGGGUGACCACUCGGGAAGUUCUAGUGUCUUACAUGCC
rnacentral:rRNA from 1 species